AGUCCUAUAGCUCAGUGGUUAGAGCAUUCGCUUUACAAGCGAGAGACCCAGGUUCGAUUCCCGGCAGGGUGA